rnacentral:rRNA from 1 species
UACAGAGGGUGCGAGCGUUGUCCGGAAUCACUGGGCGUAAAGGGCGCGUAGGCGGUGACUUAAGCGUGUGGUGAAAGCUCGGGGCUCAACCCCGAGUCGGCCGUGCGAACUGGGUCACUGGAGCAUGUCAGAGGCAGGCGGAAUUCCGGGUGUAGCGGUGGAAUGCGCAGAUAUCAGGAGGAACACCAAUUGCGAAGGCAGCUCGCUGGGACGUUACUGACGCUGAGACGCGAAAGCGUGGGGAGCAAACAGG